GCGUAAUGAUUUGAGCACUGUCUCGGCAAUAAAUCCGGUGAAAUUGUAGUGCAAGUGAAGAUGCUUGCUACCCGCGGUUGGACGGAAAGACCCCGUAGAGCUUUACUGUAGCUUAGCAUUGAAUUUCGGUAUUGUCUGUACAGGAUAGGUGGGAGACUUAGAAGCGAGGGCGUCAGCUUUCGUGGAGUCGUCCUUGGGAUACCACCCUGACAGUACUGGAAUUCUAACUGGAGGCCAUGAAUCUGGUCACAGGACAUUGCUAGGUGGGCAGUUUGACUGGGGCGGUCGCCUCCUAAAAGGUAACGGAGGCGCCCAAAGGUUCCCUCAGCGCGGUCGGAAAUCGCGCGUAGAGUGCAAAGGCAGAAGGGAGCCUGACUGCGACACAUACAGGUGGAGCAGGGACGAAAGUCGGGCUUAGUGAUCCGGUGGUUCUGUAUGGAAGGGCCAUCGCUCAACGGAUAAAAGCUACCUCGGGGAUAACAGGCUGAUCUCCCCCAAGAGUCCACAUCGACGGGGAGGUUUGGCACCUCGAUGUCGGCUCGUCGCAUCCUGGGGCUGUAGUCGGUCCCAAGGGUUGGGCUGUUCGCCCAUUAAAGCGGCACGCGAGCUGGGUGCAGAACGUCGUGAGACAGUUCGGUCCCUAUCCGCCGUGGGCGUAGGAAAUUUGAGAGGAGCUGUCCUUAGUACGAGAGGACCGGGAUGGACCAACCUCUGGUGCACCAGUUGUU
rnacentral:rRNA from 1 species